rnacentral:lncRNA from 1 species
AACUAGGUUAAACCAAUUGGUUGAUUGGGUUGGACAAACUGACUGACUAGGUUGGCUGCUAGUGAGCUGGUGGCAAGUCUAGUUUACUAGCAAACUUGACUUGCCCAAACAUGUCUAUCUAGUUGGUGUUACUAACCAAGUAAACUGGGGUUGUUGACCAGGUUUGACUGGGCUAGGCUGCAGUGGAAUGGUGGGCAAGUUUGGUUUGUUGGCAAACCAAACUUACCCAGAUAUGGUUGGCUAGCUUAAACCUUAAAAUAAGCUAGACCCAUAAUGUGAAAGGAGAAGGAAGAAGCAAGUAAAGAAAAAAAUGGAA